rnacentral:rRNA from 1 species
GUCUUUUAAUUGAAGGCUGGAAUGAAUGGUUGGAUGAAAUAUUAACUGUUUCAUAAAAAUUAAAAAUAGAAUUUUAUUUUUUAGUUAAAAAGCUAAAAUUUAUUUAAAAGACGAGAAGACCCUAUAAAUCUUNGUAUUUUGUUGGGGAGACAUUAAAAUUUUAUUAACUUUUAAUUUAUAAAUUACAUUAAUUAAUGAGAUAAUGAUCUGCAUAUUGCAAUUAAAAAAUUAAGUUACUUUAGGGAUAACAGCGUAAUUUUUUUAGAAAGUUCCUAUUAAUAAAAAAGAUUGCGACCUC